CUGCGGAGGGAUCAUUACCGAGUUUACAACUCCCAAACCCAAUGUGAACGUUACCAAACUGUUGCCUCGGCGGGGUCACGCCCCGGGUGCGUAAAAGCCCCGGAACCAGGCGCCCGCCGGAGGAACCAACCAAACUCUUUCUGUAGUCCCCUCGCGGACGUAUUUCUUACAGCUCUGAGCAAAAAUUCAAAAUGAAUCAAAACUUUCAACAACGGAUCUCUUGGUUCUGGCAUCGAUGAAGAACGCAGCGAAAUGCGAUAAGUAAUGUGAAUUGCAGAAUUCAGUGAAUCAUCGAAUCUUUGAACGCACAUUGCGCCCGCCAGUAUUCUGGCGGGCAUGCCUGUCCGAGCGUCAUUUCAACCCUCGAACCCCUCCGGGGGAUCGGCGUUGGGGAUCGGGACCCCUCACCGGGUGCCGGCCCUGAAAUACAGUGGCGGUCUCGCCGCAGCCUCUCCUGCGCAGUAGUUUGCACAACUCGCACCGGGAGCGCGGCGCGUCCACGUCCGUAAAACACCCAACUUCUGAAAUGUUGACCUCGGAUCAGGUAGGAAUACCCGCUGAACUUAAGCAUAUCAAUAGGCCCGGAG
rnacentral:rRNA from 1 species